CUUGCAGGAUGAGAACAAAGCACAAGCAGCUAAACUGGAGGGACAGAAGACACAGCUUCAAGCGCAAGCAGCUAAACUGAGAGAACUGGAGGGACAGAAGUCUCAGGUGGACGAGAUGAAGACACAGCUUCAAGCUCAAGCAGUGGAACUUGCCACCGUGGCG